rnacentral:SRP_RNA from 1 species
CAUCGAAGUUCGCUUCGCCGACAUUACCAACUUGGAGCAGGUCAAGUCGCUCAUCGACGAGAACACGAAGGCGAUCUACAUCGAGACUCUCUCGAACCCCUCCGGCACGAUCCCGGACUUUGACGGCAUCAAGCAGAUCGCCACCGAGGCUGUCGUCCCCGUCGUCUGC